UACAUAGGGGGGCGAGCGUUAUCCGGAUUUACUGGGCGUAAAGGGUGCGUAGGUUGUUAAUUAAGUUUCUGGUAUAAGUGCAGUGCUCAACGCUGUGAUGCUAGAAAAACUGGUUAGCUAGAGUGAGACAGAGGUAAGUGGAAUUCCAUGUGUAGCGGUAAAAUGCGUAAAUAUAUGGAGGAACACCAGUGGCGAAGGCGGCUUACUGGGUCUCAACUGACGCUGAUGCACGAAAGCGUGGGGAGCAAACAGG
rnacentral:rRNA from 1 species